rnacentral:lncRNA from 1 species
AUGACAGUGAGUCAGUCUCAAAGAAGUCAAUUUGAAUGAAAUUAGGUUUUUUAUAGUGAAACACACUGGUCCUUAUCAUUCAGGGUAUUACCAUCAGACAAGAAAAUGACAAGCGCUGUAGAUAAAACCUCUGAGGUUACAGAUGUGUUGGUCUCACCCUCUCUAAGUCUCCAUCAGUACAAAAAUACUCCUGGUAACUCUACAAGGUAGUUGUGAUAAAAUGAAAAAAAAAUGGCAACCCUAGCACUGUUUUUGAAUGUGUCAGUUCUAGACAAAAAUCUCAUCAAGGUGAGAUGUACACUCAUAAUUGUUGCAUUACAAAAUCAUUGCUCAUUCCAGACCUUUGACCAUAUAACUCUCCCGCCAAUCUUUUCAGUGAGAGAAAAUGGGGAAAACGGCAAUGCUAAUUUUUUUAUUAGCAUUCAUUUUCAUUUCAACCACCGUUAUCUACCACCUAGAAUGAGCAACAUUUCAGAUAAUGACAACAGACUUCAUCAGAUAGCAGGAAGUGGCUGAUGAGAUAGAAUCAUAGAAUCAUCAAGGUUGGAAAAAAUCACUAAGAUCAUCUAGUCCAACCACCAACCCAUCCCCACCAUGCUCACUGACCACAUCCCUCAGUGCCACAUCUCCAUUGCUCUUGAACAACUCCAGUGACAGUGACUCCACCACCUCCCUGGGCAGCCUGUUCCAGUGCCUCACCAGUCUUUCAGUGAAUUUCCUCAGUAUACAACCUGGACCUUCCCUUUUGUCCAAAACUUUCUGAUUCACAGUCUUAGAAAACAUGGGGAAAUUCUUCUGAUAAAUUACCAUCCUUAAAUGCCUUAUAGAUAAACACUUCAUGGUAAACAGUUAAUGGUGCCUUGACACAAGAGGGUUGAUAAAUGACUGAGUAAAAAGAUAGUAGGUGAAUUCAGAUGGUGUUUCCAUUUUUUUCACAUCUUCUCAGAGAGUUGCUACGGACUUCCAAACCUUUGUCUUCCAAGUGAAAAAUACAAAUAUAGCGAAGUGGUGGAUUUAACCUCCAAGACUAACUCUGCUUUUGAAGUACAGCAAAGCAGUUGGCCAAAACCGGGGCCAUAGCAAGAUAAAACAUCUUAUUCUCAGUUGGAAGUUCAGCCAUACAAGCAAUUACUGAUGGAUGGAGUCACUGUAACUCGUGUCUUUCCUAGGACUCUGGAAUUAGGAGAAGACCUAUGCAGGGAGUGAGGACAAAGGGGAAGACUUUUUAUGGCUUGAUUUGUUCUUGCAUUUGAAAUAGAUGCUACCUCUGACCUUUGAGAUGUUAGGCUCCAAAACAAAUAAAUAAAUGCAUCUUGGAUGAAUCAUCUAAUGCUCAUUGUGGGGAUAUUUG